rnacentral:lncRNA from 7 species
GGUCGGUGGAGGAGGUGGGCGUGGAAGGGGAUGGUGGAGGGCAAGAGCGGGUGGGUGAGGAUCGACGUGACGCUGAUACCAGGUUGUCAAGCGCCUCGACGCCCAACGUCGCUGGCCUGCGGCUACGCAGUUCGUAGUCGCGCUCCAGACCUUCACCGUGAGGGGUUCCUCACCGGUGGCUUGAGAGAGGCAAGGGAGAAGAGCAGUUUUGGAUAAUUGAUCUUGCUUGAUUCUUCCCAGUCUAUUACACGGCAUAUAUAUAGCCUCUGGUUCAACCAAUCUCUCCUAUGAUUAAGGCAUAUGAAAAGGAAACUAAUCUUAACCAAUCUCUCCUAUUAUUAAGGCAUAUGAAAAGGAAACUAAUCUUAACCAAUCCCUCCUAUGAUUAAGGCAUGCAAAAGGGAAACUAAUCCUUAUCUUUCUAAACUUAGCCACUGAUUGUGGCGCCUGCCUUGGCUGCGCGAUCUGCAGCCCUCCUGGCGUCACGACAGCGCCUGUAAGUGCGGCCGUACAUGACAGUACCUCAUUGGCCAUUCUAGUUCAAGGUCUUAUAGGUAGUAGUUCAAGUUCAAGCUCAUCAGUGGGUCCAGGCAGCAUUCACCAGAAAUUAGAGUAUGUUGAUACUUGAACACGCAG